UCUUGUGGAUGAUGAGAAUAUAUGUAAAUCACAGUUAUCCCUGUCUGAUAGGUUCUUACGGGUGCUGACAAUAUUCAAUCUGACACAUUU